rnacentral:ncRNA from 1 species
UUCUUUGGGUGGGUGAAGGAGGGUGGGCAUAUAUUAUAUCAUUUUGGAUUAACAUAUACAAUAAUAAUAAUAUAUUCGGUGAAAUUCUACAAAUAGGACAUGAGAAAAGUUAAGGAUGUAGAUAGACUAUACCAUCUACCUUUGUUGGGUACUAAAGAGGUUGAUUUUGAUAGGCCUUAUGAUGAAUUUGAUUGGCAGAUUGAAUAACAAGAAGAAGGGACGUAUUAGCUUGUAUUUAGUGCGAUUCGAUGACCCAAGAUGGUGAAAGUCCAGUAGGCGAAAGCAUCACUAUCGUACAGUCUGACCAGAGUAGACAGGGCACGUGGAAUCUCGUGUGAAUCAGCAAGGAUCAGCUUGCAAGGCUAAAUACUCCAGGUGACCAAUAGUAAAGUAGUACCGUGAGGGAAGGGUGAAAAGAACCCCAUCGGAAGUGAAAUAGAACAUGGAA